GGGGGUGAUAAGGCUUCGACAGAGAUGAGGAGAUCAGAAUUGCACACCAGGGUCCGGACACCCUGUAAAACCGUCCGGAAAAAAAUAAGCGCCAACGAAGCUUUGGCACUUGCUGCUUAAUUAAAAGCAGCCGCCUUACCACUCUUGCCCUGUGGAGUGGCUAAGGUGUGAGAAAAGCAGGGCUUGCCUUACUUCUUGCAAAGGGAAGUAAGGUGAAAUUUAAUCUUUGCUAGCCUGCUUUCUAUCCUGCCUGUCGGAGAGAAAGCAGGUGAAACUAAAAAGACAGGCUAAGUGUGUAGAGGUUCUGAUUUUCCUUAUCUCUGGACGAGGGUUCGAUUCCCUCCACCUCCACCA
rnacentral:tmRNA from 1 species